UCCUUAAUAGUUCAAUAGUAGAGCGGUCGGCUGUUAACUUACUGGUCGUAGCUUCGAAUCCUACUUGAGAAG
rnacentral:tRNA from 1 species